rnacentral:rRNA from 1 species
AGCAGCCGCGGUAAUUCCAGCUCCAAUAGCGUAUAUUAAAGUUGUUGCAGUUAAAAAGCUCGUAGUUGAAUUUCGGGGUCAGUAGGUCGGUCGUGCCACAGGUAUGCACUGGUCUCACUGAUUCCUCCUUCCUGAUGAACCGUAAUGCCAUUAAUUUGGUGUUGCGGGGAGACUGGACUGUUACUUUGAAAAAAUUAGAGUGUUUAAAGCAGGCUAACGCUUGAAUACAUUAGCAUGGAAUAACGGAAUAGGACGUUCGAUCUUAUUUUGUUGGUUUCUAAGAUUGACGUAAUGAUUAAUAGGGAUAGUUGGGGGCAUUAGUAUUCAAUUGUCAGAGGUGAAAUUCUUGGAUUUAUUGAGGACUAACUACUGCGAAAGCAUUUGCCAAGGAUGUUUUCAUUAAUCAAGAACGAAAGUUAGGGGAUCGAAGACGAUCAGAUACCGUCGUAGUCUUAACCAUAAACUAUGCCGACUAGGGAUCGGAUGAUGUUAAUUUUUAAUGACUCAUUCGGCGCCUUAA